ACAAAGGCCCUUUUAAGGGCCACCAUCGCCUCACAGAAAGAGCUG
rfam:Fukomys damarensis contig101042, whole genome shotgun sequence.